rnacentral:tRNA from 1 species
GGGAAUAUAGCUCAGUGAUAGAGCACUUGCCUAACAUGCAUGAAAACCUGUGUUCCAUCCUCAGUACUGCAA